CAGCAGCAAUGCUUGAGGGCUCUUUUUCUGGCCGGCUAUACAUCACACACAGUGUAGAUAUCAAAUUGAGUAUGCACACGGUUUACCUCUCUGAAGCAACUGGGGAGGGGAAAACACUUCUACACACGUUGAGCCACGGGAGUGAUGUAACAACGUCCGACGAUCCAGAGCAUGAAGGAUUCUCCAAAAUCCCGAGAGGAAAAACAAAACGAAAAAAACACCAUUCUCCGUCUCUUGAGAACAAAUAAACCACACUGUCAUCAGAGUGUGCCGGGCCUGACCGGUGAUGUCAUCAGGCGGUGCCAGUGUGCCACACAAAAAUGUAGAGGGAACAACGUUUGCUCAGUGUUUGUUCAGUGGAGCCUUUGCUUUCAUCUUGAGCGCUUUCAUUUAAAAAAAUGUUUUUUGGGGGGUUUUCAUGAACCCUUCGUCUUCUAUCUCACCAGAUAGUUAUUUUCAAUGAUUGUCAAAAACCUUAAUCAGGGGUCAUUUAGUCCUAGACGGAACCCGGGUGAGUCGAUGUCGAUGUAUAGAUGUGAGAUAAUCUAUCACAUGCAAGUGCAAACACACUGGGUUGGAGAACGUCUGUCUAAGAAAUGUGUUAAGAGGAAGACCGCAUACAAUCCUCAUUGUUUUUCCUGAUGGAUUACUUUAUAUUUCUUUAUGGAGAAAGGCUGCGCGAGAGGAAGCGGCUCUGAGAGGGUCGGGAUGUUUCAAAGCACUUAACAGACCCGUCACACUCGCCAUGCAUCCGACAACUUUUUUGUUGCCGCUUUUAUUUACGCAGUACUGUAUGUUUUUAGAUUAUUUUUUUUUCUUUUCUUUUCUUUUAAAGACAGGGGUAGAAGGUAGCAGCAGCACUUUGUAAUGAUGAAGCUUUUUUUUUUGAGAAGUGAAGGGGUGGUUUGGUAACGUGGGAGCGCAUGUGCCAUCGGAUCACAGCGACGGGGAGGACGGGGAGGACGGGGACGUCUGUUUCCUGGGUUACGCUCAGAGGAAACUAUAGCAUGACGGUUUUCAGUCGGUGAGCUUUGAGUACGUUGAACGCUUUGGAAUGUCUUUUGAACUUUUGGGAUCCGGACGAAAGGAUCAAUUCCGGAAAGGUGUCAUAUAUUUGUAGUGUGUGUGUGUGUGUGUGCUGGAGUGUGCAUGAUGCAGGUCUGUGUCUGUCUGCACAAACACACACACACACACACAAUCACAACGCAAUGCAGACCAUCCAUAUGACUAAAUGACCUAUUAUAUGUUCUGUAUUUAGACGAUUGCAGAUGAUUUGAAGACGCUAGUUGACAUCGGAUUAACACACACACACACACACACCGCUCACAGCACACAGCGCUCGGCGGUGAGUUUGUGUCAGCGUGUUUGUGUGUGAGCGUGUAUGAUUGUAUGUAUACCGUGUAUAGGAACAGGUUAUACUCAUUUGAUAUAAAGUCGAUGCUAAAUGUCCAGGGUUUGUACUUUGAGUCGUACUUAAUAGAAUCUUUGCAAUUUGCACAUCGGGAGGAGGGAGACGGGUGGAGACAAAGACGAGCCCUAGACCACGCGACACACUGGAGGAGACCAGGGUUGUUGUUCCUCAACAGGCACUUGAAACGUUGUAGAGGAAAAGUUUCUACAUUAACGCAGUUACGGUCACAUUUCAUUAGAGUUUUUAUAAACAUUACCAUAGCUGUAAAAACCGGAUAAUUAACACGUGCCUGCCUACUGAAUUUAAAAUAUAUGCCAUGUAGUGAAUCCGAAGGAAACUUUUUUUUCCCUCCACUUUACCUGCUGUUGAAACCAGGGUUCAGCGGCUCGGGUCCAGUUUUGGCGCAAAUCAUCUGGAAGCCCGUUUUUUCCCGAGAUGCAGCAGUUAGCUCAACAGAUACGCCUGCCUGGUCGGCCCGACGUUUGUCAGAAGUUCAACACUCUCAACGUCUCUUUCUUGCAUCUGAAAGCUCAAAUUCUGUCCUUUUCUUAGCUUGAUUUUUGACACGUAACGCAAGGUGUGCACCGACGCAUGAUCCUUUCACCGCAUGUAAAGGCGGUUGCUCUUUAUUUCAUCUAUCUUCUAACUUCAGUGGAACUGAACUGCAGAGAUGCUUCCUUUAAAAAUGUUAAAAGUUGAUCAAAACAUAAUGAAAUUGGACGGUGUUUUUGUGUUUUUUUAAAUCUACCUGAUAAACUUGGUGGAGGGUGGAAUAUCUUCACAUAAUGCCAUUGAACAUUAAGCCAUCUCUCAUACCAAGCCGUUAACAUGCGCAGGUUGCCGGUCUGAAGGUGCUGUUAAGGCGCAUCUGUUGAGCUUUCUACCCGUUCUCACUGCAGAGACGGGAUCUUUUUGCAUCGAGGAAGUAGAGCAGUUGUAUUCUCAUCCCAACAAAAAUAACCCCGGUUUAGCUGUGCAGGGCAGCGCUUCAUGUGGGUGGAGUUACGCAGUGUGAUGGCGGAAUGGAUGCGAUGGAUGGCGAGUAGAAGAGUAGACCCCAAAUGAGAUUUGAAAAUGCUUUAUUUUUUUAUAAUAAACAGGGUUUCUCAGAUCAACAUCACCGCAGUAGUACAUCUUCAUUUCUUCCUUUUCCUAUUGAAACAUCAUGAUCGUUACUAGUACGAAUAGUAGCAUGUGUGCGUGUGCAUGUUUGGCAAUCCGUGAGUGGCUGUGUCGUUUGUAAAUGUAUAUACAUGUCACACAUACCUGUUUUUUUUAUGUCCAACAACCUUUCCUCACGAAAGAGCAGAACAUAUGAAUAAUCCUUCAAGCCACUCAGACCAUCAACACUUCGACUGUCCGGCUGGAAACGUUGUUAGCCAAAGCUAAGUGAUGCCAAUCUUAAUUUGGUUUGGAAAGCAAUAGUACAACAGUAUUCAGGCACUCUCUUCACGCAUGAGUGGAACACACAAACACACACACACACACACACACACACACACACACACACACAAUGUCAUUCCACUCAUUCUCUGCAAUAAAAUUAAAUCACAGUAAUCGUUUUUCAUUGCAAACACCCGUAGACAGAAAACACAAUCAUGCCAUAAACUAGAAAGUGCACGUAAAAGCUAAUAUACCUGAACACACCUCGCUUCAAUUAGUACCUCUCCCCUCAUCAUAAAGUACAUUUUAAAUCUCUAGGAAGUGCAGUUGCAACGUCAGUUGCUAGUUUUUCAGGGAAGUGUCUCAUAUAUGCAGUAUCCGACCCCCAAAACCUCCGACGUCGCCGCCUGUCGUCACGCAGGACGUAACCGGCGGACGUUCUGAGCCUCUGUUUCAGGUACCCAGUCACAGCCAGCCGGCCUCACACCUCCUCCUGAGGCAACGCAAUCAAUUAACCCUCAACAACCGUUAGCUACCUUUCGGCGCGGCCUGCGCGGCCUGCUAACCCCUUAACCCCUAACCCUUAUCCCUAAACCCUUAUCCCUAAACCCUUAACCCCUAACCCUUAGCCCCUAACUCUUAUCCCUAACCAUCUCCUUUCACCACUAGCUCACAAAGAUCAGGGUGUCCAUGCUCCGCAUGCUUAGUAAUAGACCCUGAGACAAAGCGGUCUGAAGUGUAGAGCCACUCUGGAUCCAGUGGAGCGGGUCAACAUUGUGUGAGGGUUUAUUGUAGUUUUCAUUUUGUUAAUAUAAAUCCCCAAAUUGAACCUCUUCAGCCACUUGAAAUGUACCGCAAUGUGCAAUACUUCCAUUCGUUCCCCGCGCCACUCUUUGCUGUGCCAAGUAUAUGUUUGAAAGUCCUACUCCAGCGUCUCAUCCGCGUUAAUGGCUUGUGUAUUUUGCUGUCUGUCGAUGUGUGUUGUUUGUGAGAGAUCGUGUCGUGUCUCCCUGGUGUGUGUCUGCACAAUGCGGAAUGUGUGCUUGUGCACAACCCCGGUGUUCAAAUGUGUCCUGAGCUGGUCUGAGUGUGUUUGUGCGUAACAAAAUGUAAAAAAGAAAAGAAACGGAAAAAAACAACCACCCAACAGAGAUGCACAUGUAAGUAGAUGUAAAAGACUUGAUGAUAUUUCAGCACUUUCUAAUCCUGCGUCCGGCUUGGUGUCUCAGGCUGAUACUUUCCCUAGAAGGGGCCGGGGGGGGGUUUACUUACACCGGACAGAGAGAAGGUGAUGGAAAAAAGGGGCUGAAUGAGGAUGAAAAAGAGAGAGUUGCACAUCAUCACCUCGCCGUAACCUCGCGUUCAUCUGUCCGCGCUCCAUCUCGCUCGCCGCCCGGCGUGUUCUUGGGUCCGACGGGCCCGAAGGUGAUCGGUGGCCCCUUGGUCCUUUUCCACUGGGAAAGCCUUUUGUCACGGGACGCACACCGUCUUUUGUUGCGUUGGGGUUUGUUUGGAAGCGCUCCCAUCACGCGCCCCGCCGCGCCGUGCGGUUAGAUGGGUUGUGUUGUGGUCACGUUUGGGGGCGGGAUGUGUAGGGAGUCGGCUCGGCUCGUGCGCACAAACCUCUGCGUUUCUUUUUUUUGGUGCAGAAGCUUUUUGUGUGUUUUCGGUCUCCUUGUAGCACUCAAUAUAAUGUCAGGGGACUUAAAACUAUUCACAGAAUGUGUCAUUGUUGAGUUUUUACGACAAGCUUCCUCACUUGAGGAACACUGCUAAUGUCUUCUUUUUUUUUUUAAUUGGCUUCUUGCACAAUUUCACAGAUAAAAUGAAUGUUGGUGUGUGAGCUUUGACUUUUUUCGAUCAGAAAAAUAAGGCAUGUGUGCUCUUUGUUUCUUGAUGUUUGUACUUUCAUUUUGCAUACAGGAUGUGUUUUGGCAGUUUGUGUGUUAAAGUUAACAGAAUUCAAUCAGGAUUCAUUUUUUGUCAAAUUGUUUUUUCUUUUUCUUUUUUUUUAUGAUGUUUCGUCGAUGUCCAUAGCGCUGGAUAACCAACUCAGGCAGAAAGAAAAAAAAAAUUAUAGAGGCCCACUUAACAGUUUCACCCCAAUCAAGUUACGUCAUGGGCUGUUAUAAAGAUAUGUAAAUGUAUUACAUAUUAUUUGAUAUGAUUAACAAAUGUCAUUAUUGACAAUUAACUAUGAAUUAUUAUUAUGAUAUUAUGUGUGUUAUGCUGGAGGAGGCUCGGAUUAGUCUUUAGUUCUGCCUCUCUGCGCAAGGCGACACUUGGACAGGGGACAGGCUGUACUUUCCGUGACCUCUGACCCUGCCACGGAGGGGCGAGGGUGGGGGGAGGGGGGGGUAGAGCUUAUCCGUAAGUUGACCCCCUCCCUCCCCCACUCCCCCCUCUGAACACUGAGCGCUGAUGCCAGCCUCCGGUCCAUCGAGACGUUCCUCUGCUAACCCGUGACGCCCAAAUACUGAACUGAAGCGCUUUGUCCCGCGCGAUGGACGCAGAGAACUGGACAUCAGCACAGAUCUGCUCGGGACCGUCCGGCCUGCAGGGAGACGUUCCCAGCCAACUGGUCUGUACUACAAUGUACUCACCAGGUCGCUGUGUCUCACCAACCCCCCCUUUUCCUCUAUAGCAAUGGAGAAACGCUGUCGGUGUAUGUAUUUUGACAUCUGUACAAAUGCACCACUUUGAAAAAGAAAAUGAAACCUUGACAUAUCUGGAAUAAAUGCGCAAGUUGUGUCUUUAUUUGAACACCAACGCUAUCAAACAAAACACCAUUUGAUGGCGAUACCCACGCACGACACAAGCACUGCAUUUAAAACAGCUGUCACAUCUGUCACACACUAUGAUUUCCGCCUUACGGUUGAUUUAGGGCUGAAGUUUAUGAGACAAUAACUCCCUCUAGUGCACAAUACGCUGCACAACAAAUCCACUUGAUGCAACCAUUUAGACACCAGGGUCACUUUGCUGAAUGCUGUGUCGCCCUUCAGGUCAUCUUUCUGCUCUAGUUGUCUUUAAAGGUUUUGGUUUAAUGUCAACAAAAAAACGAAGAGGAAAUACAGAAUAGUCUUUAUUGUACUGAAUACAUUGUUAUUGCAAAGAUACACACAGCAGCAACACGUUAUACAUUUCCCGACACGGUCACCAAGAAUACAGCAUCUCAGUGUUUUAUAACUCCAACAAGGCCCC
ensembl:lncRNA